rnacentral:lncRNA from 1 species
UGUGGGGAGUAACAUAGGAAAUUUGUUUUAAUUUUUUUACUUUUCUUUUAAUUUUUAUUGACAAAUGUCUGCUUGAGCUUGUAGAAAUAUAGUUGAUUGGUUAGGAACAUGUAUAUAGGUUGAUUGUAUUUACUUAAACUUGGCAUGAUAGUGAAUGAUUUUAAAUUUUUUAUUAUUAAACCAUUAAGUUCUACAUAUAAAC